GAUGAACGCUGGCGGCGUGCCUAAUACAUGCAAGUCGAGCGAAUGGAUUAAGAGCUUGCUCUUAUGAAGUUAGCGGCGGACGGGUGAGUAACACGUGGGUAACCUGCCCAUAAGACUGGGAUAACUCCGGGAAACCGGGGCUAAUACCGGAUAACAUUUUGAACCGCAUGGUUCGAAAUUGAAAGGCGGCUUCGGCUGUCACUUAUGGAUGGACCCGCGUCGCAUUAGCUAGUUGGUGAGGUAACGGCUCACCAAGGCAACGAUGCGUAGCCGCCCGGAGGGGGUGAUCGGCCACACUGGGACUGGGACACGGCCCAGACUCCGACGGGAGGCAGCAGUAGGGAAUCUUCCGCAAUGGACGAAAGUCUGACGGAGCAACGCCGCGUGAGUGAUGAAGGCUUUCGGGUCGUAAAACUCUGUUGUUAGGGAAGAACAAGUGCUAGUUGAAUAAGCUGGCACCUUGACGGUACCUAACCAGAAAGCCACGGCUAACUACGUGCCAGCCGCCGCGGUAA
rnacentral:rRNA from 1 species